UACGUAGGUGGCGAGCGUUGUCCGGAUUUACUGGGUGUAAAGGGCGUGUAGGCGGGAGAGUAAGUCAGAUGUGAAAUUCCACGGCUCAACUGUGGCGCUGCAUCUGAAACUAUUCUUCUUGAGUGCUGGAGAGGGAAGCGGAGUUCCUAGUGUAGCGGUGAAAUGCGUAGAUAUUAGGAGGAACACCAGUGGCGAAGGCGGCUUUCUGGACAGUAACUGACGCUGAGGCGCGAAAGCGUGGGGAGCAAACAGG
rnacentral:rRNA from 1 species